UGCAUUCUGUGAACUUAAUUCUGUUCAAUGUGUCUCCUCUGUCUUCUCAGGCCCAGGAGGAUCUUACAGCCAGGGAGACCUGCAAGGCUGGAUUCUCAGAAGAAGGUUACACGGCAUUAAUCUCCCCAGAUAUUCUGCAAGGAGAGAGGCUGCUCAAAGGUGUCACAUCUCAGGAUCAGAGAGUUGUUUUUAAGGAAGACUUAGAAGUAAUUUCACACAUAUGGAGACAGAAGCUAAAACUGCAAUACACGCAAGCCAGGACACGUAAACCUUCCUGUGUGUGUGCAAAACUUUGCAACUGCAAGAACACAGCAGAGAUGGAUGUGUCAAAAAUAAAUGAGAGGCAGUGUUCCUGUCGUUCUGGUAGGAGUCGCAGUAAAUAGAUAACGGCUGCUUAUAAGUGAGCUAUUCCAACAGAGAGAACUUAACCUUAAUUUGACAAGCAAAGCUUCGUAGAGCCCGCUUUAUGGUAAGUUCGCCAUAAGCUGCUAACGACCACUCCGUGGCUCCCUCUCUCUGCCUGAGUCAGCUCCCCAGCAGCCCCAAACACACACUUUCCGGCAAGAGCGAUUUGUUACACAGUAAUUAACUUGUUUAUGAUAAAUGGAUGGAAGAAAUGUCGUGGCAUUUUGUUUUAUGUCUAAAUGAAAAGCAUUUGCAUUCUAAAAAU
rnacentral:lncRNA from 1 species